GGGGAAUUUUCCGCAAUGGGCGAAAGCCUGACGGAGCAAUACCGCGUGAGGGAUGACGGCCUAUGGGUUGUAAACCUCUUUUUUCAGGGAGGAAUCAAUGACGUGUACCUGAAGAAUAAGCAUCGGCUAACUCCGUGCCAGCAGCCGCGGUAAGACGGGGGAUGCAAGUGUUAUCCGGAAUCACUGGGCGUAAAGCGUCUGUAGGUGGUCAAAUAAGUCAACUGUUAAAUCUUGAGGCUCAACCUCAAAAUCGCAGUCGAAACUAUUAGACUAGAGUAUAGUAGGGGUAAAGGGAAUUUCCAGUGGAGCGGUGAAAUGCGUAGAUAUUGGAAGGAACACCGAUGGCGAAGGCACUUUACUGGGCUAUUACUAACACUCAGAGACGAAAGCUAGGGUAGCAAAUGGGAUUAGAUACCCCAGUAGUC
rnacentral:rRNA from 1 species